rnacentral:lncRNA from 1 species
GCCCUUCCCCUCCUGCAGACUGCGCAACCGCCACACGCCCCGGGACACCAUGCCGGCAUUGUGAGCAGACUAAUCGCCACAUACCACUCGGUUUUCCUUCCUGGACUGCGUCACAGGCCCGGAGCCCUGCGGUUCCCACAUUGUUUCUGUCAUCAUCCCAAGAAGCAUAACUCUUGAGGCUGCGUCUGAGCGGGACAGCCUGUCUCAGCACGAGCUUGGACUCUUAUGUAAGUGGCUGUGGGGAGAACUGGCAGUAAACAAACAUUUUUCCAGCCAUUGUUUUCUUUGCCGUCUUGAAAUUUUUUUUUUUCCCUCUGGGGCCACUGCAGCUCUUCUGCCCCCAGGAUGGCAGAUUCCCAGCUUAGAAAUGCCUUGCGCGGCAUUUCCAGAUUCUAAAAUCAGAACGGAGUGAACCACAGUGUGCAAAGAAAUGCCUGAGCAUGGGAACAUGUAGAUGGCUUUGUCUGCAAGGGUAUUUGAAGCAGCGUGUCAGCAAGCUUGUCCACUCAGCUGUGCUGCUGAUAGCUGUUUGGUCUGGGAUUUGACCCCAAACAUCACGAUCCGAGAAGUAGGCCAUUUACAGACCAGUUCUGAGGAUGCUCAAUCCACAGAAGUCCUGUUUAUUUCUACCAGCUUCCAUUUCCAAGGACAAACUGAAUUUGGCCAUCUAUACGCUGCCUAAACUUUGCAUUUAAGGAGCUCUGAAGAGAAGCAGAAUAUUAACGUUAAAAUGAGAUUGUAUCGGUUGCAUAAUGAAUGUAGGAUAAAGAUGCCAGGCUGGCUCCCUGGAGGUAAAUCAACCCCCUAAAAGCUGCUACCUGAGUGGCACUGAGUAAUUAAACCGCAAACUGCACUGGAACAGGUUUCAAGUGGGACUGAGGAAGUAGUCGUAAACUAAAUGACUUCUGCAUCAUCAGGGGAUUAGUUUUUGUUUUGUUUUGCUUUGUUUUGUUUGUAAACCUCCACUUGAAAGCUGUCUUCUCUCUGCCAGAAGUUAGGGUGGUUCAGAGAACUCAUCUCCUGAUGUAUAGAGAAAUUGCCGGAGGCGAUUCUGAAGGGCAUCUUCUGGGAGCCGGUUUCGAAGAGCAUGAUUGGAUUAUAAAGAUGAUGAUAGCUAACGUUAAAAAUAUUCUUACUAUAUACAUGCAAGAACUGUGCUAACUGAAUAAAAG